AGAGAAUGGACAAGAGCCAGAGUAAGAACCUGACUCCUUCCCCUCACUCCUCUCACCAGAGAAAUCACCUUUGGUUACAUCUGACCACCUUCCCCAACUCCAGACCCAGAGCUGGAAUAUCCCUUUCUUGCUUAGGAAGGAGCCUGAGUCACAAAGCUGGGAAGCUGGGCCCCAGCUAUCAGGGGGUUCCAGGUCCGGCCCUUGGGGCUGCUUCCACUGGUCCGCAGAGUCAAGGCUUGACCACGAGUGUCGGCAACUUGCCGGCCCAGAGAAGUCUUCAGAUGACUAAACCUCUCAGGUAAACUCAGAUCUGCCUGCAAAUGACCAUUGUCCAGAGAGCCCCUGGAACCCCCAUCGGCCACUUUGGGAGAUGAGGAAACUGAGGCACAUAAUUAUACUGACUUUCUCAUGGUCAGAUAACUGGUGUCUGCGGCAGAGAUGAACUUCCUGACUUCUGGGACCAUAGAUUUAGAGCAUUCAAGGCUAGAACCCAGAGCUUCCAGUUCUCCAACCUAAUGAUCUCAAGAGAUUGCAGUUGAGCAGGAGGAGGAUCCAGCGCUUUGGGGAAGGCCGGCCUCCGUCUCCCUGGAGACGGGGCAGUGAUGCCGCUUGGCUCCCUCUCAGAGAAGGAUUACUCUGGGACCCUGCAGAGCUGACAGGGUGGUCAGCUGAGAGCCAGAAGGGACUUUCUGUGUUGCUUCUGGCCCUGUUUACAGAUGAACAACCGGAACCCAGACUAGUAAAGGGACACGCCCAAACAACUUGCUACACUCUUAGCGAGACUCAGAACCAGAAUUCGAAGCCAGGAUUCUUUCCCCAGCUCUGUGCAGACCCCGGUGACCCAAGAGCACAGG